rnacentral:rRNA from 1 species
AUGGACCAUCUUGUCGUGGAUGACGUCCUUGCAACGCCGACCACCACACCAUCAUCAUCUUGCGGUAUCGCACCGCAACCGGCUACCAGCGGCAUCGCGCCGCCAAUGGCCUCCACCUCGCGCCAACGUCCUCCACGUCACAUGGAGUCCGCCGCGUCGCCGUCAUCACCGCCAGCGCUGCCGCGGAUCGACAAGACUCAGAUGCCAAUUGUUGGCGCCGCCUCUCACAGCGCCUCUUCUUCUUCUACCUCUCAUGAUUUCCCUCUCUCCUCUUUGGUUUCUCUCUACUCUCAAGAACACACACAGGGACAGAAAACACACACACACACACUUCACCAAGAAAAGGAAAGGCUUUGCUUCUUCUCCCGGUGA